UCCACCGCCUGUUUGUUCCUGUCACCAGAUUAGUCAAGAGAGUGUUCGACGUGGCCAGGAGUGACUUCAUAGGCCCGUCGAAGCUGGAUGGAUCCACACAGGUGAAUGGCAUGAAAACUGCCGAGCUCCUCGACGCAGACAACAUAAUCAACAUACCGGUUGAGCUGUACAAGACCCAGGCAACUGUUGCAGUUUCCAGGGAGGAGUUCCUGGAUGUCGUGUGUGAUGCACUCACCCUGUACAAGUAUGUCGGGCCCAAUCAGAGGCUGACUUGCUUCUUGCCUGCAGGAUAAAGGAGAGGAAAGAAUCAGUGACAGUACUGUUGUGUGGCACAAGUGGAUGCAGCAAGUCCGCUCUAUCAUCUUUGUUGGGUACAGGUUGGGUAUCACCACCAUAGUUUCUACUGACUAUACGGCACAUGAUGAGGAGGUUCGUUGAAGAAAAAGAAAACCCUCUGCUCUACGCGUCAACCUACCACGCAGGGGAUUAUCUAG